AGACGAACCGGACAAACGUUAUUCGGAAUUAUUGGGCUUAAAGGGUGCGUAGGCGGUGCGAUAAGUCGGGUGUGAAAUCCCUCGGCUCAACCGAGGAAUUGCGCCCGAAACUGUCGUGCUCGAGGGAGACAGAGGUGAGCGGAACUGAUGGUGGAGCGGUGAAAUGCGUUGAUAUCAUCAGGAACACCAGUAGCGAAGGCGGCUCACUGGGUCUCUUCUGACGCUGAGGCACGAAAGCUAGGGUAGCGAACAGGAUUAGAAACCCGGGUAGUCC
rnacentral:rRNA from 1 species